rnacentral:misc_RNA from 1 species
CUGAACGAACGGAUCGCAGGUCGAAUUCGGAUCCAUCACGGCUGCGGCCGGGCUGUUCUCGGGAGCCCAGAGGUUGCCGGGGAACCAGCCGGAGAGCUCGUCCCACAGCCAGAGGUAGUCGACCACGCCACUCGCGGCGAUCGCCUUCGUGAACUCCUGCGUCAUCGCGAUCGGGGUGUCGCGGUGGUUAUCGAAGGGCAGUGCGGUCUCGACGGUGCUCAUGCUGCUCCUCGGUCGCGGGGCAACGUGAUUUCCGAACGGUUCGCUCGGUCAGGCCCCAGCCGUCGUCACCGUCCCAGCUGAAGCGGGUCGUUCCUUCGGCGAGCCAGUGCGAGGCGGAGGGCUCCGGGUCCCGCCCAAUCACGAUCCCCGACAUCCCUGCCAUCGAGAUCGUCGCCGUCUGGCCGACCUCCGCCGCGAUCUCGAUGGUUCCCCGCU